rnacentral:lncRNA from 1 species
CCAAAGGAUGUGGGGUCACUCAUAUGACCCCUAACUGAUUUAAUAAAAAAUUUUGACACAUAUGUAUUGAAGACCUAUUAUGGACUAGUCUGUAUUCUCUUGCUGCUUUUAGUCAAAUGAAAGCUAUAAACCAAUAACCAUGCUAGUAGAUCACUAAUUCCAAUGGAGAUGAGUGCUCUGAAGGAAAGGAACGGGUUCUCAGAGAGUAUACAGUGAAGAAGGCCAACGCUGAGUGAGGAGUCAGCAGGAUUUCUCCGAGGAAGUCACUGCAAAUGAUCAGGCUUCAGGGAGGCCCGGCCUGUAGCCCUUUUCUUUUUGUUAAGCAUUGCAUGUGACAGGGGUGCUUUUCCGGUCAAAGUCAAGGCACUUUUAUGUGCUUUGAAUAUUAUUAUGUCAGCUUCCUGCUACCAUGGUGAUUUACUAAACAGAGUCUGGGAUUUACUAGUCUGAGUAACAGGCGAUGGAAGCAGGUUCACUCUUUCAACCAGUAGAUCCAGUCUUCUGCAUCUGCCUCUUCCCUCAACGGCUGCCUUCCGGCAACCCCGAGAACAGAGUUGGACAGUCCAUCCCUGGGAGACCCUGUCCCAGAACAUCUAGACUCCCAGGUUGGUCCUCUUUGGAACAUGAGAGGAUGUGGUUACAUUUGCAAUUGAAAGACAUCAUCUAGGGGGUAAAUGUGAAAGGAAAGGUCCAGGAAGGACCAGGGCAGAGGGCUCCCCUAUAAUUCUCUGAUGUUCAUUCCUUUGAACACCCUUAGCCAUGUAGACACAUUUGCAAGGAGAGAGUUUGCAAAGCCAUUAAUAGAAACAAAAGUAGUAA